AGUGAACGCUGGCGGAAGGCCUAACACAUGCAAGUCGAACGAGUGGCGGACGGGUGAGGAAUACAUCGGAAUCUACUCUGUCGUGGGGGAUAACGUAGGGAAACUUACGCUAAUACCGCAUACGAUUGAAUGAGCCGAUGUCGGAUUAGCUAGUUGGCGGGGUAAAGGCCCACCAAGGCGACGAUCCGUAGCUGGUCUGAGAGGGUGAUCAGCCACACUGGAACUGAGACACGGUCCAAACUCCUACGGGGGGCAGCGGUGGGAAAUAUUGGAAAAGGGGCGCAAGCCUGAUCCAGCCAUACCGCGUGGGUGAAGAAGGCCUUCGGGUUGUAAAGCCCUUUUGUUGGGAGGCGUUACCAACAGAAUAAGCACCGGCUAACUUCGUGCCAGCAGCCGCGGUAAUAC
rnacentral:rRNA from 1 species